rnacentral:lncRNA from 1 species
AGGAAGAAGCUGUAGGAGAGAAGGAAGAGUCCAGUCCCACGGCUGCCUGGGUCAGGAGACUGCGCAUGAGCGGCAUUGCUAGUUUACACAGCUCAGGAGCCACCCCUUCAAUAAGUCUGCCUGAAGUGCGCUUAGCAGGAGCCCUCCAAGCUGUUUGUUUCAGGAAGUGGGGGAGAGUUCUGAGUCUACACUAACAGGAGACUGGAGGGUCGUCUUACACUUUCUGGAACUACAUUAAGAGAACAGCAGAUUGACUUAAAUAUUUGAAGAUCUUCUGAUGAAGACAUGCUGUGGUAACUAUGGAACGGUGAAUGUGGGGCCUCUUUCAGAGCACCUGAGAGGGACAUGUGGCCCAGAACUUGUCCUGAAGAAUACAAAGAUGACCCAAUGGAGCAUGACUACUCUUACUGAUGUCUUCCAGUCAGAAACAGGAUGACGUCUCUGUGUCCCCAAUCUCUCAUGUCAAAGGGAAGAUGUGCAUAUCCUGCGAGCACUUUGGAUUUAUAUGUGCAUGCAUUGGCUUUUCUGCUCCCUGUUUAUCUAUCAAAACUUAUUAUCUAGGCAUCUAGGUGUGCUGGGCACACUACUGAGUUCCAGGAAUACUCUAUCUCCAAAACAAACGAACGACUCAUAAACCC